ensembl:lncRNA
UGUGGGGUGGGGGGCAGCCCCGAUGUAAAUAAUUAACGUGACGAAGUGAAGUGUGUAUAACAGAAAGGCGAUGGCCCUUUGGUGACGUGUGGGUGCCCCAGGAGGUCGCUGGGCCGGCGCUGACCCGCGGGCAGCAGCGUUGGCAUUGAGCAGCCCGUGGUGUUGUGUGGGAGCGGGUAGCGGUCCGUGUGUGCCGAGGGUAGGAGGUGCUGUGUGAGGUGUGUAUAGUGUACAUUUCUAAAAUAGCUUGCUUGUAUUGUGAAGAUUUUAAAGACAAACUUGAGAAUUCUAGCCUAACUAUUAACACAAGUUUAACAUCAGUUACCCCACUGGGUUCAGAGCCUCUUGAAUGUAUAUUCCUUUUUGUAACCUAAAUGACCUAUUCUUCUACCAGUCAGCCAGACAUCCUAUUUAUAUUUUUAAUUUUAUAUAUUACUUUCCAUUCGUUUCCAUUAUUUCCAGCAUGUUCCUCAGUUUGGUUUCUUUUCGCUUCGUUUGGGGUUUCGUUUUCUUCCUUUUUGCACAAGCGACGAACCGUUCUCUCCAUCCUGGUGUUUUCCAACCUCUUUCCCCCCCCUUCCCCUUCUCCACCCCUGUUGUUUUUUCCUCCCACCGUCCGUUUGGGUUCUGCUGGGCCGGGAUGAGGCGGGGUGGGGAGGAGGGGACGGGACGGCUCGUUUUCCAUUUGCAGCUUUCUGUGCAAAUGCCAGGUCUUUUUUGCCGGUCCACUGCAAACGCUUCACUUGCUGGUUGCUUUAAACAAGGAAACUUAAAACAAAACAACAACAAAAAAAAAAAGGUAACCUUAUCAGUCCGAGGAGAGCGCGGCGGGAGGAGGGAAGCGCACACCUGUAGGGACACCGCUCGGGCUGCAGGGCUGUGGCUGCUUCCCCCCCCCCCACCGACCUCUCCAGGGACCCCCACCAGGAGCUCACUCAGCCCCACAGCCGCCUGCGUGGGGUUUCCAGAGUCCAGCAGAGCCCGGCUGCUGCGGGGCCGCCCAGCCUGGUGGCUUUGUGCUGCAGGUAGAGAACACGCAUCUCUGCUGUUUUGCAAUGAACACUGGUCUGAGGUUUCCAGGCCCUCACCCACGGCCGUGGGCUGCGAAGGAUCCGAGUGGGAACCCGACUCCUGCCUGCUGCCGGGGCUGGGAGCACCAGCUGGUAUGAGUGAACCUACAGUAUAUUGUCAGUAUUCUGGUAUUCUUCUGGUUCAACAUACAUUAUAGCUCAUAUAUAACCUGUAUUAAUUGUAUAGAUUGUGCAUUUAAAGCUGUUACCAAGUUGUCAGAAAAUAAGAGAAGAGAAAAAGAAAAAAAAUAAGGUCAUAUGUAAUAUUUUGUUUGUAAGUAUCCUUUGUAUCAUAGCAAAGGAAAUGUUAAAAAAAAAAAAAAUCAACUGUAAUAAAGUAAUUUUAGUACACGGAGUGUCUGCCUGCGUCCCUGGUGGGGCUGGAGGGUGGGGGCCCCACCGCUAUGGCCCCUUCUGGGGUUGGGGUCCCUCCCCAUGCA